CAGGCCUCCCUUCCACUCACAGCCUUUUGAAGUAGCUCUGUGGACUUGCACCAGAGAGAUGAAAAGCUGAAAUCCAGCUGCCGUUCAUUCCUGCUUUAAGAUUAGGAAAGGUAGAGCUGAAUUUGGGCUAUGAUACUCGGAAGCUUUUCCCCAGCUGAUGGAGGCCUGCCCUGGAGGUGCUCAGCUCCAUCUCUGCUGUCCAGGCUGUGAGCAAGAACACCUAAGAAAAGCCAGCAGCCUCCUUCCCUCUCCCUCCCCAUCCAUUCAGGAGAUCUCUGCAGGUGCCAGGGAUCCUGCCUCCAGCUUGGGUCCGGGGGAAAUUUGGGCCAAGAUGAAGCCUCUUAUUGGCUGCAUGAAUUCCAGCCUCCUUCAUUAACAUGAAGAGUGCCGUGCUCCCCGCUGUCUUAGGAGUUACAGAACAUUUAAAAGAUGAUUUGCGGACAGAUUAAGGACUUCAGAAGGAGAGAUGACACCAGACCCGGGUCUUGCAGAUGCAAACUGCUGUCAAGUGUGAGAGGAGAGGAGGGGAGUAUUAUCCACCAGUGGCAGAUAUGCUGGGCAUCUGGGCAGAAUGAUAAGAGCUGUGGCCCUGCAGCCAGUCCCUGCAUUUGCACCCUGAGUUUGCCAUGAGCUGUGUGACCUUAGUCAAGUUUCUCAACCUCUCUGUGCCUCAGCUUCCUUCUCUGAAAAAUGGGGAUCGUGUUUUGCACACAGCCCGACACACAGCAAAUAUUCAGUGACUGCUGCCGCUUUCUGCCAUAGCUAAAGGUGGUGUUGUGGUUUUCCUUCCAGGUUUUUAUGCUUUAAUUUCCUAACUGUUCCUGCAUUACCUCACAGUUGAUGACGUGUGGGGCCAAGCUCUUGGCACACGUGAGCACAGUGGAUAUUCAAGGAGCGUUAACUCGGGUCCAUUUUUCUUUCCAUCAAACACAGCCUCCUGGUAAAAGAGCCAUUCAGGAUGCCUGGAGGAGCCCAGAUUUCAAAUCUGAUGAAGGCUGCAGUUCUAUAAAUUCCCUCCCUCUUUUGUGCUGAUGGCAACGACUUUUAUAUGUAUUUUCAUGUCUUUCUCUCCAGAGAUAAAUUUUGUGGCCUGCCACUGAAUCUGCUUCCUAAAAUGUAGCUUGGAGAUUUAAUUGAGAUAAACUAUCAUGUGAAUAAAUAUAGAUACUAUAUUUUAAUCUGGGAGCGUUCCAUUUGGAACCUCUUUUUUUAAAGUCAACAUUAGUGGUGCCAUCAUUCAAAGGAUAUGGACGUUUGGGGGAAAUUUACAUCCAACUGU
rnacentral:lncRNA from 1 species